CUUGGCAAACUUUUUUGCUUUCCAGAAAGUAGAAAGUAUGGAAUCAAUCGGAGUCCUUAUGAUGUGCCCUAUGUCCUCCUACCUCGAGAACGAGCUUCAGAAGCGCUUCAACCUUAUUCGCUUUUGGAAUUUCCAGGAGAAAUCCGUCUUUCUGGAAACCCAUCGGAACUCAAUCGGCGCCGUCGUUGGAAACGCUUCUACAGGCGCUGACGCUGAGCUCAUCAAUGAUCUCCCCAAGCUUGAGAUCAUCUCCAGCUUCAGCGUCGGCAUCGAUAAGAUCGAUUUGGGGAAAUGCAAGGAAAAAGGGAUCCGAGUCACCAACACUCCGGACGUUCUCACCGAAGACGUGGCAGAUGUCGCGAUUAGCCUAAUACUGACUCUCCUCCGACGCUUAUGUGAGUGCGAUCGCUAUGUGAGGAGCGGUAAAUGGAAGUAUGGAGAUUUUCAACUCACUACUAAGUUUAGUGGCAAAUCACUAGGCAUCCUCGGUCUAGGUAGAAUUGGGACUGCCAUCGCCAAGAGGGCUGAAGCCUUUAGCUGCCCAGUCAGUUACUACUCUAGAAGAGUGAAGCCUGAUUUAGGCUACAAGUAUUAUCCAACGGUGGUUGAGCUUGCUCAAAACUCAGACAUCCUCGUCGUGGCCUGCCCAUUGACUGACGAAACCAGACACAUUGUGAAUCGGAAUGUCAUGGAUGCAUUAGGAGCAAAGGGUGUGCUGAUAAACAUAGGGCGUGGGCCACAUGUUGAUGAGCAAGAGCUAGUAAAUGCUCUAACAGAAGGCCGCCUAGGUGGGGCUGCGCUGGACGUGUUUGAGCAGGAGCCACACGUGCCCGAGGAGCUCUUUGGGCUUCAAAAUGUGGUUUUGCUUCCCCACGUUGGGAGUGGCACUGUAGAGACAGAGAAUGCCAUGGCAGAUCUUGUGGUGGCUAACUUGGAAGCGCACUUUGCUGGGGAAUCACUUCUGACUCCGGUGGUCUGAGAGUAAAUGGCUUCUUCUAUUAUAUGUCGAUAAACUAGUGAUGGAAAGUGUCAAUUUCUCUUCCAUACAAGUUGCAUUGUCGUAUAUAAGGAUCGGUUUUCCAACUUCUCUAUGGCACAGAGAAGUUGGAGCAACAACUAUUUAUCACAGACGGACUUUCUACUUAAAGCGUCUUCUUUUGGCUUUUUACUCAAAUCUCUUGUGACAACAUCAGCGGACGUCAAUUGAGUGAAUAAACACCUCAAGGCAACCUCAUAAGCAGCAAAAAUGGCACCAUUAACAACAAAGGCCCUGGCAACUGCAGUCCCGAGGCCACGCCAGAGAACCCCAUAGCCUUCCUGUGCGAUGCUUUUACGAAAACAAUCAGCAAUGCCCUCGUAAGCCCCAUGACCUCCUUGUUGAAGCCUGGUCUUGACGACAUCAAGAGGAUAGCAAAUGACCCAACUGGACACACCAGCCAGGCCACCUGCGACCAGCAUGGUCCUAAGAGUUUCUUCUCCACUCUUCCUGCAGCCGGGAUGAAGCAUUUCUCGUACGUACUCGUAAGUCCAGAAGUAAAACCCGUGAGCUGGAGCAUCUCUGAGAACAGUUAUGGUGAGGCCUUUGUAAAUCCCCUUUAGCCCUUCUCUCCUAAGGAUGGUCUUAGCCAAGCUGAUGGGACCGCUGUUGCUCUGCUGCAGCUGAAGACGAAUCUUGAUGAGCUCGACGGGGCUAAGCAAGAGGCUCUGCACAGCGCCAGUGCCAACCCCACCAAGAGCAACGCCUCUGUAGGAAGAAGGCUCUUCCAUGGGAACAGAGGAAUCAAAGGAGCGAGAGAGUAUUGCAUAUAUCUGGAAUACCAUAGCAUUCUGUGACAUGAUCACAAGAAGAAGAAGACAACGAUGAGUAAAUCACAUGUGCACAAAAGAAUAUGCGAGUGGAAUCAAUGCUUUUCUUUUAAUAAAAAAAAGUUAUGAUGAGAGGAUGGAUGGGAUAUUCAUGAGACGAUGUGAUACAAAAAAGGUGAAUCUAAGAAAGAAGAACCUGAAAGGUGACGGAGGCCAAGGGUGCAGCCAUGCCUCUGUAGAGUGAGGAGGGACCCUCCACGGCGAGCAUCCGGCGGAGAAUGGUGAAGGCAGAUCCGGAUUUGGAGCUCUGUUGCUGACGAAUUCUCAGCGUGUCCAAGGGAUAGCCGGAAAUGAUACCGGCAACGCCUCCGAAUCCACCGGCGACGAACUCCCUUCCCCAGCUGCUCGCCAUAAACUCCGGCCAGAAAUCCAUGUCGAUAUCUUUCUUCUUCGAAUUAGUAUUCUUUUAAGAAAAAAAAGGUUUAUCUUUAUUUGUAAAGAUUCAAUGCCUUUAACCUGCCCGAGGGAUUUGAUUGUGUACGUCUACAACUUUCCGAGUAAAAAGCGGAUUGGGAUUUUGUC